CCUGCUCGGACCGUGCCCUCCCUUUCUUCCAGCUCGCGUAAGUCUUCUGCUCGGCUCCCUCUCCAGCGUCGCCAGCCAUCUCCUGCUCCAGUGGUUGCCGGUGUCGAGCUCCGUCCCCAUGCCAUCUCCACCGGUUGCCGCGACCUUGCCGAACCUCGUGCCCCUGCUCCUCUGCUCGCCGAGAAGCUCUAUUUGCUCCAGCUCACGUCCCUGUUUACUUGCUCGACCUCAUCAGCGUUAUCUUCUCCAGCAGCUCAUCGACGACCGCCGAUGCCCUCUUCUGGUUCAGCCAUGUCUUUGUCUGGCAUCUCGUCCUUAGCUCGUCCCCGGC
rnacentral:misc_RNA from 1 species